AGUGAACGCUGGCGGUAGGCCUAACACAUGCAAGUCGAACGGCAGCACAGUAAGAGCUUGCUCUUACGGGUGGCGAGUGGCGGACGGGUGAGGAAUACAUCGGAAUCUACUUUUUCGUGGGGGAUAACGUAGGGAAACUUACGCUAAUACCGCAUACGACCUACGGGUUAAAGCAUGGGAUCUUCGGACCUUUCGCGAUUGAAUGAGCCGAUGUCGGAUUAGAUAGUUGGCGGGGUAAAGGCCCACCAAGGCGACGAUCCGUAGCUGGUCUGAGAGGAUGAUCAGCCAAACUGGAACUGAGACACGGUCCAGACUCCUACGGGAGGCAGCAGUGGGGAAUAUUGGACAAUGGGCGCAAGCAUGAUCCAGCCAUACCGCGUGGGUGAAGAAGGACUUCGGGUUGUAAAGCCCUUUUGUUGGGAAAGAAAAGCAGCAGGUUAAUACCCCGCUGUUCUGACGGUACCAAAAGAAUAAGCACCGGCUAACUUCGUG
rnacentral:rRNA from 1 species